GAUGAACGCUGGCGGCGUGCCUAAUACAUGCAAGUCGAGCGAACGGACGAGAAGCUUGCUUCUCUGAUGUUAGCGGCGGACGGGUGAGUAACACGUGGAUAACCUACCUAUAAGACUGGGAUAACUUCGGGAAACCGUAGCUAAUACCGGAUAAUAUUUUGAACCGCAUGGUUCAAAAGUGAAAGACGGUCUUGCUGUCACUUAUAGAUGUAUCCGCGCUGCAUUAGCUAGUUGGUAAGGUAACGGCUUACCAAGUCAACGAUGUAUAGCCGACCUGAGAGGGUGAUAGGCCACACUGGAACUGAGCCAGGGUCCCGACUACUGAGGGAGGCAGCAGUAGGGUAUCUUCCGCAGUAGGCGAGAGCAUGACGGAGCAACGCCACGUGAGUGAUGAAGGUGUUGGGAUAGUAAAACUCUGUUAUUAGGGAAGAACAUAUGUGUAAGUAACUGUGCACAUCUUGACGGUACCUAAUAAGAAAGCCACGGCUAACUACGUG
rnacentral:rRNA from 1 species